rnacentral:rRNA from 1 species
UACGAAGGGGGCUAGCGUUGCUCGGAAUUACUGGGCGUAAAGGGCGCGUAGGCGGACAGUUAAGUCAGAGGUGAAAGCCCAGGGCUCAACCCUGGAAUUGCCUUUGAUACUGGCUGUCUUGAGUAUGGGGAGAGGUGAGUGGAACUCCGAGUGUAGAGGUGAAAUUCGUAGAUAUUCGGAAGAACACCAGUGGCGAAGGCGACUCACUGGCCUAUUACUGACGCUGAGGCGCGAAAGCGUGGGGAGCAAACAGG